rnacentral:rRNA from 1 species
GAUGAACGCUGGCGGCGUGCUUAACACAUGCAAGUCGAACGAAGCACUUUAACCUGAUUCUUCGGAUGAAGGUUUUUGUGACUGAGUGGCGGACGGGUGAGUAACGCGUGGGUAACCUGCCUCAUACAGGGGGAUAACAGUUAGAAAUGACUGCUAAUACCGCAUAAGACCACAGAGCCGCAUGGCUCGGUGGGAAAAACUCCGGUGGUAUGAGAUGGACCCGCGUCUGAUUAGGUAGUUGGUGGGGUAACGGCCUACCAAGCCAACGAUCAGUAGCCGACCUGAGAGGGUGACCGGCCACAUUGGGACUGAGACACGGCCCAAACUCCUACGGGAGGCAGCAGUGGGGAAUAUUGCACAAUGGGGGAAACCCUGAUGCAGCGACGCCGCGUGAGCGAAGAAGUAUUUCGGGAUGUAAAGCUCUAUCAGCAGGGAGGAAAAUGACGGUACCUGACGAAGAAGCACCGGCUAAAUACGUG